rnacentral:rRNA from 1 species
AAUCAACGCUGGCGGCGUGCCUAACACAUGCAAGUCGAACGAGAAAGUGGAGCAAUCCAUGAGUAAAGUGGCGCACGGGUGAGUAACACGUGACUAACCUACCCUUGAGUGGGGGAUAACCUCGGGAAACCGGGGCUAAUACCGCAUAAUAUCGAGAGAUCAAAGGAGCAAUUCGCUUAAGGAGGGGGUCGCGGCUGAUUAGCUAGUUGGUGAGGUAAUGGCUCACCAAGGCAUGAUCAGUAUCCGGCCUGAGAGGGCGCACGGACACACUGGAACUGAAACACGGUCCAGACUCCUACGGGAGGCAGCAGUGGGGAAUUUUGCGCAAUGGGGGAAACCCUGACGCAGCAACGCCGCGUGGAGGAUGAAGUCCCUUGGGACGUAAACUCCUUUCGAUCGGGACGAUAAUGACGGUACCGAGAGAAGAAGCCCCGGCUAACUUCGUGCCAGCCGCCGCAGUAAC